AAGCGUUUAUGACCAGACUUUUUCCUAGUGGAUCAUCCGGUGUUCUCACCGGUGCACUUCGCUAGGUUUAGGCCAGCAUCGGUUUCCGUAGAGGGAUAAAAACUUUAGGAAUGUGGCUCUUCGGAGUGUUAUAGCCU
rnacentral:rRNA from 1 species